rnacentral:rRNA from 1 species
UAGGGAAUCUUCGGCAAUGGACGGAAGUCUGACCGAGCAACGCCGCGUGAGUGAAGAAGGUUUUCGGAUCGUAAAGCUCUGUUGUAAGAGAAGAACGAGUGUGAGAGUGGAAAGUUCACACUGUGACGGUAUCUUACCAGAAAGGGACGGCUAACUACGUGCCAGCAGCCGCGGUAAUACGUAGGUCCCGAGCGUUGUCCGGAUUUAUUGGGCGUAAAGCGAGCGCAGGCGGUUAGAUAAGUCUGAAGUUAAAGGCUGUGGCUUAACCAUAGUAGGCUUUGGAAACUGUUUAACUUGAGUGCAAGAGGGGAGAGUGGAAUUCCAUGUGUAGCGGUGAAAUGCGUAGAUAUAUGGAGGAACACCGGUGGCGAAAGCGGCUCUCUGGCUUGUAACUGACGCUGAGACUCGAAAGCGUGGGGAGCAAACAGGAUUAGAUACCCUGGUAGUCCACGCUGUAAACGAUGAGUGCUAGGUGUUAGACCCUUUCCGGGGUUUAGUGCCGUAGCUAACGCAUUAAGCACUCCGCCUGGGGAGUACGACCGCAAGGUUG